rnacentral:rRNA from 1 species
UACAGAGGUGGCAAGCGUUGCUCGGAAUUACUGGGCGUAAAGGGCGCGUAGGCGGCCUUCUAAGUCAGACGUGAAAUCCCCAGGCUUAACUUGGGAACUGCGUCUGAUACUGGGAGGCUUGAGUGCGGGAGAGGGAUGUGGAAUUCCAGGUGUAGCGGUGAAAUGCGUAGAUAUCUGGAGGAACACCGGUGGCGAAGGCGGCAUCCUGGACCGACACUGACGCUGAGGCGCGAAAGCUAGGGGAGCAAACGGGG